ensembl:lncRNA
AACUAUCAUUACAGUAAACAAGCUAACUCAAACUAUCAUUACAGUAAACAAGCUAACUCAUGAACUAAUAUUACAGUAAACAAGCUAACUCAUAGACUAGCAUUACAGUAAACAAGCUAACUCAAACUAGCAUUACAGUAAACAAGCUAACUCAAGCUAUCAUUACAGUAAACAAGCUAACUCAAACUAGCAUUACAGUAAACAAGCUAACUCAAACUAGCAUUACAGUUAUCAAGCUAACUCAAACUAUCAUUACAGUAAACAAGCUAACUCAAACUAGCAUUACAGUAAACAGGUAACUCAUGAACUAGCAUUACAGUAAACAAGCUAA